UUGUUCUCAUUUUGGUAGCAAAUCUACUAAAACUGAAGCAAUACAGAGAAGUUUGUCAUGACUCUUGUACAAGGAUAACAUGCAAAUUCUGGAAGCAGUUCAUAUUUAU